AGGAUUGCCUGGCUGUUGAAAUUCCUCAGAUUGUGCCCCUUUGAGAGGACAAAAGAGGGAUAUGAGAGCAGCAGCACGUGGAAAGGUGACUGUUUCUACUGGUCACAUAAUUAUUCCCCGCUCAGCGCUCUGACUGUAAAAGUGAAUUCCUCUUGAUGACUGCAGUGGGCCUGCUAUGCUCUGGCUCCCAGCCAGCCCUGUCUACAUUUCACUGAUGGACUCGCACAGCAAUUUGCCUGAACAAACUUAUCCCAGCUGUACGGCUCAACCUCUGGAAAACGCAUCACUGUGACAAUUUCAGGCAUGUUUGGCCGUUCGGAUGGAUUCUCAGAGAUGUUCCUUCCUGUAACUCGUGUUAUUUGAGUCAGAAUAAAAAUAGAACCGGGCCGACUUAUGUCAGCACACCUCUCAGAGAUGG